ACGUUGUAACUUGUGUAAAUUAUGAUGUAAGAUAUAAUUACACUUGUUACGACCGGA
rnacentral:pre_miRNA from 1 species